GCAGUGCCCUGGUAAAUUAACAACUUUACACUUACUGGAAUAGCCAUGAAAGAGUGUUUGACGUUCAUGCAGUUCUGCAGAGAAGGCGACU
rnacentral:lncRNA from 1 species